GAUGAACGCUAGCUACAGGCUUAACACAUGCAAGUUGAGGGGCAGCAUGGUCUUAGCUUGCUAAGGCCGAUGGCGACCGGCGCACGGGUGAGUAACACGUAUCCAACCUGCCGUCUACUCUUGGACAGCCUUCUGAAAGGAAGAUUAAUACAAGAUGGCAUCAUGAGUCCGCAUGUUCACAUGAUUAAAGGUAUUCCGGUAGACGAUGGGGAUGCGUUCCAUUAGAUAGUAGGCGGGUAACGGCCCACCUAGUCUUCGAUGGAUAGGGGUUCUGAGAGGAACGGUCCCCCACAUUGGAACUGAGACACGGUCCAAACUCCUACGGGAGGCAGCAGUGAGGAAUAUUGGUCAAUGGUCGGCAGACUGAACCAGCCAAAGUCGCGUGAGGGAAGACGGCCCUACGGGUUGUAAACCUCUUUGUCGAGAGUAAAGUACGCUACGUGUAGUGUAUUGCAAGUAUCCGAAGAAAAAGCAUCGGCUAAACUCCGUGCC
rnacentral:rRNA from 1 species